UGCCAGCAGCCGCGGUAAUACGUAGGGUGCGAGCGUUAAUCGGAAUUACUGGGCGUAAAGCGUGCGCAGGCGGUUUUGUAAGUCAGAUGUGAAAUCCCCGAGCUCAACUUGGGAACUGCGUUUGAAACUACAGGACUAGAAUAUGUCAGAGGGGGGUAGAAUUCCACGUGUAGCAGUGAAAUGCGUAGAGAUGUGGAGGAAUACCAAUGGCGAAGGCAGCCCCCUGGGAUAAUAUUGACGCUCAUGCACGAAAGCGUGGGGAGCAAACAGGAUUAGAUACCCUGGUAGUCC
rnacentral:rRNA from 1 species